UGCCAGCAGCCGCGGUAAUACGUAUGUCGCAAGCGUUAUCCGGAAUUAUUGGGCGUAAAGCGCGUCUAGGCGGCCUUUUAAGUCUGAUGUUAAAAUGCGGGGCUCAACUCCGUAUUGCGUUGGAAACUGGAAGGCUAGAGUAUCAGAGAGGUGGGCGGAACUACAAGUGUAGAGGUGAAAUUCGUAGAUAUUUGUAGGAAUGCCGAUUGGGAAGCCAGCUCACUGGAUGAAUACUGACGCUGAAGCGCGGAAGCGUGGGGAGCAAACGGGAUUAGGUACCCCGGUAGUCCACGCCGUAAACGAUGAUCACUAAGUGUGGGGGGUCGAACCUUCGUGCUCAAGCUAACGCGAUAAGUGAUCCCGCCUGGGGAGUACGCACGCAAGUGUGAAACUUCAAAAGGAAUUGACGGGGGCCCGCACAAGCGGUGGAGCAUGUGGUUUAAUUCGAUGCAACGCGAAGAACCUUACCUACACUUGACAUACAGAGAACUUACCAGAGAUGGUUUGGUGCCUUCGGAACUCUGAUACAGGUGCUUGCAUGGCUGUCGUCAAGCUCGUGUUGUGAGAUGUUGGGUUAAGUCCCGCAACGAGCGCAACCCUAUUCUUAGUUGCUUACGAGGUAAUGCUUGAAACUUUAGGAAACUGCGUGAUAACCGGAGAAGUGGGGACGACGUCAAGUCAUAUUGGCCUUACGUGUAGGCUUACACACGUGCUACAAUGCGCAUACAGAGUGCUGCGAACCUGCGAGUAGCGAAUCACUUAAAGUGCGU
rnacentral:rRNA from 1 species